UACGUAGGGUGCGAGCGUUAAUCGGAAUUACUGGGCGUAAAGUGUGCGCAGGCGGCCGAGCAAGUCGUGUGUGAAAGCCCCGGGCUUAACUUGGGAAUUGCGCUCGAAACUACUUGGCUAGAGUGUGGCAGAGGAAGGUGGAAUUCCACGUGUAGCGGUGAAAUGCGUAGAGAUGUGGAGGAACACCGAUGGCGAAGGCAGCCUUCUGGGCCAACACUGACGCUCAUGCACGAAAGCGUGGGGAGCAAACAGG
rnacentral:rRNA from 1 species